UGGGGAAUUUUGGACAAUGGGGUAAACCCUGAUCCAGCCAUCCCGCGUGUGCGAUGAAGGCCUUCGGGUUGUAAAGCACUUUUGGCAGGAAAGAAACGUCAUGGGUUAAUACCCCGUGAAACUGACGGUACCUGCAGAAUAAGCACCGGCUAACUACGUGCCAGCAGCCGCGGUAAUACGUAGGGUGCAAGCGUUAAUCGGAAUUACUGGGCGUAAAGCGUGCGCAGGCGGUUCGGAAAGAAAGAUGUGGAAUCCCAGAGCUCAACUUUGGAACUGCAUUUUUAACUACCGGGCUAGAGUGUGUCAGAGGGAGGUGGAAUUCCGCGUGUAGCAGUGAAAUGCGUAGAUAUGCGGAGGAACACCGAUGGCGAAGGCAGCCUCCUGGGAUAACACUGACGCUCAUGCACGAAAGCGUGGGGAGCAAACAGG
rnacentral:rRNA from 1 species